rnacentral:tRNA from 1 species
AUCUAUUUGGCAGAUUAGUGCAUUAAGUUUAAGCCUUAAUUAUGAACCUC